UACGUAGGGUGCGAGCGUUAAUCGGAUUUACUGGGCGUAAAGAGCGCGCAGGCGGUCGAUCAAGUCGAGUGUGAAAGCCCCCGGCUCAACUGGGGAGGGUCAUUCGAUACUGAUCGACUCGAAGGCAGGAGAGGGUAGUGGAAUUCCCGGUGUAGUGGUGAAAUGCGUAGAUAUCGGGAGGAACACCAGUGGCGAAGGCGACUACCUGGCCUGUUCUUGACGCUGAGGCGCGAAAGCUAGGGGAGCAAACGGG
rnacentral:rRNA from 1 species